rnacentral:lncRNA from 1 species
GUCGUAUCUAGAAUGCAGUUCCCUAUUCUCGAAUGUAACCGAUCGAAUUAAACUAUAUCGUAGUUUGUUUCAGCAUUUGCAACACGACGGAUCUGCAUACCCACUCGGAGCAUCGAAUAUCAUCCACAGUUUUUUGGCAUGGUUCAUGCUGUUCCAUAUUUCGUUGUUAUGUUGUGUACCGUUUUUUUGUCUGUUUUUUUUUUUUUUUUUUUUCACUUUUAGCCAUAGCGUUGUCAGUUUGUUUUUGACUUGAGUUCGGGGAGUUUGGAUGUCACUCUCGGCAUCGUUCGCCUCUUUUUGAUAUACCAGCGUCACAGAUGACGAAGAAUAUGUUGGUAGGGUUUGUAUUGCUCAGUCUUAAGUUUUUGAUGUGUUUUGUGGAGUUUUUAUUUUUUUGCUUUUCGAAUUUUUUAGUUUUUAUUUUUGUCGCGGCGUUUUCAAUAUGUCUUUGAGUUUGAAUGUCCCUGUCAUACUUCGUAAAAACCAGUCAGAUUCAAACAAGAAAUCCUCUGAAAAUAACAUGAUCCAGAUGACUGAUUUCUUGAUAUAUACUACAUAUUACAUUUUAUUCAACAAAUAAACAUCAUUUUCAUGGGGACCAACUGUGUUCCCCUUCUAGCCAACUUGUUCCUCUAUUCAUAUGAGACAG